UUUUUGUUUUUUCUUUUCUUUUCUUUUCGUGAAUCUCGAAUUGCAGUGGAAUUUACCUAAAUUUCAUGAGAAGGUUGCUACAGUGUUCAUGUCCUGUUAUCAAGUGGUUCUCACUUGGCAAGCCCUUCGUGACGCAUUCUUUGGAAUGCAUCUGUGUGGUAAUAUUGUAACUUGCAAUAUUUCAUUGUAGUUUAAUUUUGAUUCUGCUCUAUCAAGAUGGUUAGUGAAGAUUCCGCACAAUCGAGUAGGGCUUCGGAGAUGGGUCAAUUCCAGUCACAACCCGCAGAAAUCGCAACAACUGUGAGCACUUAGCUGAUGCUAAUCGAGUAAGGUCAAUUGCCAAACUAUGCUUCCUGCACUCAGCAGUCUAGCACAAUGACUUGAUAUCUAUUCCAAUCAGAAUUGCCGUCUGACAAAACCCACUUUUGACCUGCAGUGAAAUUGGUUCAGCAGCUUGAGUGCCAUAAUAUCAUUUGCUAAAGGUGACACAAAUCUCAGAAUCUCAAAAAGUUUUUUUUUUUUUUUUUUUUUUUUUUUUUUUUUUUUUUUUUUCAAAUUAAAUCUUUAUCUAGAAGUCUUUUUUGAAAGGUUAUGGUAUAAAAAUCUUACAAAAGUCCUACACUUGGUGUGGAAAAACUUUGUUUUAGAAGUAUUGAUUUUUGAGAAUGGUAUAAAGUGAGAAGAGGUUAUAAAACUGACCAAAUUGUUUUUUUAAUUAAAAAUUCCAAUAUGUUAAUUUGUAUGCUGAUCCUAACAACUAAGAUAAACAUACAAAAUCAGAAUUUGAUUUUAGUGGUUAUUUAGAAAAGAAUUUAUAAUUUUUUUAAAAUUUUGUAAAUAUCACUUUUGUAAAGGGCUUGCAAAUUUUGAAGGACAACACUUUUGGUGUUAUGUUCUAAAAACAAUGUAUUGAAUUUCAUAUUUGCCUUUUAUGGCCUUGAAAGUGCUUUUUCUUGAAUAUAAAAUAACUAAAUAAGGUUUUUAAUUUCAACAAAUCUAAUAAUUAAUAAGUUGUGAUCUCUCACCUUCUUUUGCAAGUGUGGAGACUCUUUUUUUUAUCAAUACAAGAUCAUCCAAAAAGGUGUACAUGCAUAUUCUAAAAUGUUGUAAAACUUAAUUGGAAGAGAGCUUGUGAGUAAUUCUACACAAGUUAAUUUAAA
rnacentral:lncRNA from 1 species